rnacentral:rRNA from 1 species
UGGUGGACUGCGUACUUUUUGUAGAACGGUCCGGCGAGUUGCGCCAUGCGGCGAGGUUAAGCACGGAAAGUGCGGAGCCGCAGGGAAGCCGAGUCUUAAACGGGCGAGGAGUCGCAUGGAGCAGACCCGAAACCGGGUGACCUACCCAUGCCCAGGCUGAAGCUGCUGUAAAAGGCGGUGGAGGGCCGUACGCACAUCCGUUGAAAAGGGUGGCGAUGAGGUGUGGGUAGCGGAGAAAUUCCAAUCGAACCCGGAGAUAGCUGGUUCUCCCCGAAAUAGUUUUAGGACUAGCCUGCCUGAAAAGUCUGGCGGAGGUAGAGCACUGAAUUCCUGCGGGGGCGUCAAAGCCUACCAAGGGAUAUCAAACUCCGAAUGCCGCGCAGACGUUAGGGCGGAGUCAGGCUGCACGAGAUAAGUUGGGCAGCCGAG